rnacentral:rRNA from 1 species
CCUACGGGAGGCAGCAGUGAGGAAUAUUGGUCAAUGGGCGGAAGCCUGAACCAGCCAAGUAGCGUGCGGGAUGACGGCCCUACGGGUCGUAAACCGCUUUUGCACGGGGAUAACACCCUCCACUUGUGGCGUUCUGCAGGUACCGUGCGAAUAAGGGCCGGCUAAUUCCGUGCCAGCAGCCGCGGUAAUACGGAAGGCGCGAGCGUUAUCCGGAUUCAUUGGGCUUAAAGGGAGCGUAGGCGGGCGUUCAAGUCAGCGGUAAAAUCGCGCGGCUCAACCGCGCCCCGCAGUUGAAACUGGACGCCUUGAGUUCACAACAGGCAGGCGGAAUGCGUGGUGUAGCGGUGAAAUGCAUAGAUAUCACGAAGAACCCCGAUUGCGAAGGCAGCCGGCCGGGGUGCGACUGACGCUGAGGCACGAAGGUGCGGGUAUCAAACAGGAUUAGAUACCCCUGUAGUC